CAGCAGCCGCGGUAAAACCAGCACCUCGAGUGGUCAGGAGGUUUAUUGGGCCUAAAGCAUCCGUAGCCGGUUGCAUAAGUUUUCGGUUAAAUCUAUGCGCUUAACGUAUAGGCCGCCGAAAAUACUGUGCAGCUAGGGAGUGGGAGAGGUACACGGUACUCGAUAGGAAGGGGUAAAAUCCUUUGAUCUAUUGACGACCACCUGUGGCGAAGGCGGUGUACCAGAACACGUUCGACGGUGAGGGAUGAAAGCUGGGGGAGCAAACAGGAUUAGAUACCCCUGUAGUCCCUGUCUCUUAUAC
rnacentral:rRNA from 1 species